GACUGAGGGCGAUCUGUCUGUGACAUAUGUCACCCCCUGCUCGCCAGCGUUGGUUGAUUCAGAGGAUCUGGCUGGCUGGGGGCGUCCUCUUCCUCCCUCACCGCUC
rnacentral:sRNA from 1 species